GGGGGCGACUGGCUUCGACGUGGGUCACGAAACCCAAGGUGCAUGCCGAGGAGCAGACUACCUCGUUAAUCCAUCUGCAAACUUGAUAGUUGCCAACGAAGACAACUACGCUCUAGCUGCUUAACCCAGCUAGCCUCUGACUGAGUCCGUGCUUGUGCGCUCAACUCGGGGGACGAUUCUCGCAAGCUCGCGAUGAAGCCGGCCCGAGGCAGAUUCGUUAAAACCUUCCGGGAUCGCCGUCUGUCUUUCCUGCCGCUCGGGUAGCAGGCGGUUAAAUUAAAGAGCCGGCUAAGCAUGUAGUGCCGAAGGCGUAGUACUUGCGGACGCGGGUUCGAUUCCCGCCGCCUCCACCA
rnacentral:tmRNA from 1 species